GCGCUCGUAGCUCAGUUGGAUAGAGCAACGGCCUUCUAAGCCGUGGGUCGCAGGUUCGAGUCCUGCCGAGCGCGCCA
rnacentral:tRNA from 3 species